rnacentral:tRNA from 1 species
GGUGCGGUAGCUCAGUCGGUAGAGCAAAGGACUGAAAAUCCUUGUGUCGGCAGUUCAAUUCUGCCCGGAGCCACCA